rnacentral:rRNA from 1 species
UACGGAGGAUGCAAGCGUUAUCCGGAAUGAUUGGGCGUAAAGCGUCCGCAGGUGGCUAUGUAAGUCUGCUGUUAAAGAGUGAGGCUCAACCUCAUAAGAGCAGUGGAAACUACAUGGCUAGAGUGCGUUCGGGGCAGAGGGAAUUCCUGGUGUAGCGGUGAAAUGCGUAGAUAUCAGGAGGAACACCGGUGGCGAAGGCGGCUACCUGGACAGAGUCUGACGCUGAGGCACGAAAGCUAGGGGAGCAAACAGG